rnacentral:rRNA from 1 species
UGGGGAGAGGAACUUGUUCCUCGAGUCGUUGAUUUCACACUGCCGAGAAAAGCCUCUAGCUAGAAUAACGGUGCCCGUACCGCAAACCGACACAGGUAGUCAAGAUGAGAAUUCUAAGGUGAGCGAGCGAACUCUCGUUAAGGAACUCGGCAAAAUGACCCCGUAACUUCGGGAGAAGGGGUGCUCUUUGAGGUUCACGCUUCGAAGAGCCGCAGUGAAUAGGCCCAAGCGACUGUUUAUCAAAAACACAGGUCUCUGCUAAACCGUAAGGUGACGUAUAGGGGCUGACGCCUGCCCGGUGCUGGAAGGUUAAGAGGAGUGGUUAGCGCAAGCGAAGCUACGAAUCGAAGCCCCAGUAAACGGCGGCCGUAACUAUAACGGUCCUAAGGUAGCGAAAUUCCUUGUCGGGUAAGUUCCGACCCGCACGAAAGGCGUAACGAUUUGGGCACUGUCUCAACGAGAGACUCGGUGAAAUCAUAGUACCGGUGAAGAUGCCGGUUACCCGCGACAGGACGGAAAGACCCCGUGGAGCUUUACUGUAGCCUGAUAUUGAAAUUCGGUACAGUUUGUACAGGAUAGGUAGGAGCCUUAGAAGCGUGAGCGCUAGCUUACGUGGAGGCAUUGGUGGGAUACUACCCUAAUUG